rnacentral:misc_RNA from 1 species
AAGUCGUAACAAGGUCUCCGUUGGUGAACCAGCGGAGGGAUCAUUGCUGGAACAAACGCCCUCACGGGUGCUACCCAGAGACCCUUUGUGAAUACUACCUAAAAUGUUGCCUCGGCAGUGGUUGGCCUUCUACAAGGCCCCCUUCUUCGGAAGGGAGCAGACCGGCCGGCGGCCCCCAUAAACUCUUGUUUUGUAAUAUCUUCUGAGUAAACAAACAAAAUAAAUCAAAA